AUUCACAGCAGCAGCAUCUGUACUGAAACUGGAACAAUGAGCAAAGAUUAGCAUGGCCCCCGAUCAAGGAUGAUACACACAUUUGUGACACAUCUCAUAUUUUU